rnacentral:tRNA from 1 species
UAGAAAGAAGUAUGUUGGGAGUACGAAGAGUUUUGAUCUCUUUGGUGUGGGUUCGAAUCCCAUUUUUCUAG